AACUAGGCGAGCUACUCUAAAACAGCCACAGAGCUAACCCAUCUCUGUUACAAAAGAGUGGGACGAUUUUAAAGUAGAGGUGAUACACCUAUCGAGCUCAGAAAUAGCUGGUUAUUCAAAAGACGGAUCUAAGUCCUACUUUAAGCCACCCCCAGUAACACCAAACACCCAUAAACUUAAAAGUCACUCAAAUAAGGUACAGCCUAUUUGAACAAGGAAACAACCUACAACACAGGGUAAUGAUAACACGUAUGAUCAAGUAGGCCUUAAAGCAGCCAACUUUCAAAAAGCGUCUAAGCAUCAUCACAACACAUUCCACAAUUUCUUAAUUUACCCAAAACCCACAAUCACCACUGAAUGAUCCCAUACUUGUAUGGUAAACAUUAUGCUAGAACUAGUAACAAGAAGAUGAACUUCUCCAAAAUGCAAGCGUAAGCCAAAAUGAACCCAUCACCGGCAAUUACCGCCACCCACAGUACCAACCCUACAAGAAAACUCUACUAUACCAAGCGCCAACCUUACACUAGAACAUUACCGGAAAGA
rnacentral:rRNA from 1 species